AUCAAUCAAAUUGAAGACCUUUUAGUUAUUCAUUUCUAUGAAAUACAUGAACGAUUCAUCAUUAUAAUAGCAACUGUUGUUAGAACCAUCCAAGACAAUUCAUCAUUAUAAUGACAUUUUUGCCCUUCCGUUAACGAUCGUUUAAGGCGUCCAUAAUUUAUGUACCAAAACAAAGUCGGAAAACCAGACCCAUCUUAGAAAACCGGACCCAAAUACAAGAGUGAAAAUCCAUGCGAUGCGUGAGUUGUGGGAAUUGAUUCUGACCAGUGAUAUGUUGCUGAGCAGGGCGUCAAAACUAGGGACAUGGGUAGGCCAAAGAGUCUUCGCAGCAAAGCAGCCCACUUUGUGAUUUAUAUCACUACUGGAUUGCUCAACCCCAUUUCUGACAAACCCUCCAAACCUUCUCCCUUCUCCUCCUCCUCAGGAAGAUGUGGAUGGGUCCAGAUGAAGUCAAAAUGGAACAAUGAGUGAAGAGAGUCCAGCUAAUCCAGUUUUCUUCACAUUAACAGAAUUGAAGAAGGAAAAAGAACCCAACCUAAACUUACAGGAGCAUAAGCUGUUCCUUCACAAGACACCCAAAACAGGUCACUCCCAGUAUCAAGCGCCAUCAUAAACUUUAUUACCGGCGUCCCCAAUUGCACCGUCGUAUAAUGCGAACUACCCAAAACAAAACAUCAAAUCAAAUCCCUAAUUUUCAAGAAUCCCAAAAUCUAAAAAUGGAAAUUUUGAGAAAAUGAAACUAAAAGUGGAAACUUUGAGAGAA